rnacentral:rRNA from 1 species
UACGUAGGCAGCAAGCGUUGUUCGGAAUUACUGGGCGUAAAGAGUGUGUAGGCGGUGCUCUAAGUUCGGUGUGAAAUCUCCCGGCUCAACUGGGAGGGUGCGCCGAAAACUGGAGUGCUGGAGCGCGGGAGAGGAAAGCGGAAUUCCUGGUGUAGCGGUGAAAUGCGUAGAUAUACAGGAGGAACACCGGCGGUGUAGACGGCUUUCUGGACCGUAGCUGACGCUGAGGCGCGAAAGCGUGGGUAGCAAACAGG